AACGCUGGGUUGAUGGCGGGGAGUGACGUUUAGCUGCCGCGCGCUUGCUAGUCCGCGCGGAGGAUGCCGGGAUGGAGGCGCCGCUGCAGCGUGGAGACCGGGUUUUCCCCCCAGGGAAGGAGGCCUGCACACGUUUUAAAUAGUUACCUCCUCAUGGCCUGCAAGAACCGGAGCUGUCUGUCUUGCCCUCGCGGUUUUGAAUUUCAAUUCUGUAAUCCUGAAAUCUGCUGCACAUCUGUGUCAUUCACAUGCUGAAGAUGUCAAGAGAAGUCUGUCUCAGAUGAGCAUCAAGAUGUAUAGAAUUUCGGCUCUGCUUUCAAACUGGGAUGGAGAGAAUGCACAAAGGAAUGAAGAAAGUUGUGAA
rnacentral:lncRNA from 1 species